GACGAACGCUGGCGGCGUGCUUAACACAUGCAAGUCGAACGGUGAAGCGCCUUCCUUUUUGGUGGGUGUGGAUGAGUGGCGAACGGGUGAGUAACACGUUAGUAACCUGCCCCCUCCUUCUGGAUAACCGCAUGAAAGUGUGGCUAAUACGGGAUAUUCUGGGUCUGUCGCAUGAUUGGUCUGGGAAAGAUAUUGUUUCGCUGGGGGAUGGGUUCGCGGCCUAUCAGCUUGUUGGUGGGGUGAUGGCCUACCAAGGCGAUGACGGGUAGCCGGCCUGAGAGGGUGGACGGUCACACAGGGACUGAGACGCGGCGCAGACUCCUACGGGAGGCAGCAGUGAAGAAUACUGCACAAUGGGCGCAAGCCUGAUGCAGCGACGCCGCGGGAGUGAUGGUGGCCUUCGGGUUGUGAACCUCUUUCGCCAGUGAAGCAGGCCUGCCUCGUUUGUGGGUGGGUUGACGGUAGCUGGAUAAGAAGCGCCGGCUAACUACGUG
rnacentral:rRNA from 1 species